GCCUUCGUAGUGUAACGGUAGCACACUCGGCGCGAAAUCAAGAGGUCCAGGUUCGAGUCCCUGGGAAGGCA
rnacentral:tRNA from 1 species